AUCCUUUUGUAGUUCAUAAGCAUGAUGAUUGGGUGUUCACUCCAUUGUGUGACAUGUGCCACCCUUAAACCUUGUUAUGACCCAGGCACAUUACCUGUCUGACG
rnacentral:snoRNA from 1 species